UCGCCAUAUGAGCCAAACCGGGAG
rnacentral:siRNA from 1 species